rnacentral:rRNA from 1 species
GACGAACGCUGGCGGCGUGCCUAACACAUGCAAGUCGAACGAAGUGGCGAACGGGUGAGUAACGCGUAAUCAACCUGCCCUUCAGCGGGGGACAACAGUUGGAAACGACUGCUAAUACCGCAUACUGAAGGUGGGGCUUGCGUGCGUUUAGUUAGUUGGGGGGGUAACGGCCCACCAGGGCGAUGUUCAGUAGCCGGUCGGAAAGGUUGAACGGCCACAUUGGAACUGAGAAACGGCCCAGACUCCUACGGGGGGCAGAAGUGGGGAAUCUUCCGCAAUGGACGAAAGUCGGACCGAGCAACGCCGCGGGGGGGAAGAAGGUUUUCGGAUCGUAAAACUCUUUUGUUGGGGAGCGGUAUCUAACCAGAAAGCCACGGCUAACUACGUGCCAGCAGCCGCGGUAAUUC